rnacentral:rRNA from 1 species
GUAGGGAAUUGUUCGCAAUGGGCGCAAGCCUGACGACGCAACGCCGCGUGGAGGAUGAAGACCUUCGGGUCGUAAACUCCUUUCGACCGAGAUGAAUACCUGCCGACCUAAUACGUCGGCAGGCUGACAGUAUCGAGGGAAGAAGCCCCGGCUAACUCCGUGCCAGCAGCCGCGGUAAUACGGGGGGGGCAAGCGUUGUUCGGAAUUACUGGGCGUAAAGGGUUCGUAGGUGGCCGACUAAGUCAGACGUGAAAUCCCUCAGCUCAACUGGGGAACUGCGUCUGAGACUGGCCGGCUUGAGUGCAGGAGAGGAACGCGGAAUUCCAGGUGUAGCGGUGAAAUGCGUAGAUAUCUGGAGGAACACCGGUGGCGAAGGCGGCGUUCUGGACUGCUACUGACACUGAGGAACGAAAGCCAGGGGAGCAA